GUGUUGGGAUGAUGAGUGCUACUUCCCCAUCCGCCGGCAUAACUGAUCCAAUUUCAUGAUUGACAUGUUAGAGAGAGAAUUCUGGAGAGAGAUCUGGAGAGAGGGAGAGAGAUCUGGAGAGAAGGAGAGAGAUCUGGAGAGAGUGAGAAGCAUGGAGAGAGUGAGAGAGAUCUGGAGAGAGGGAGUAAAAAAGGGAGAGGAAAGAUUGGGGGGAAGGACAGGGAGAACGACCGCAGGACACAUUAUACUGCCACCCUUAGAGGCAGUGUUAGAGUGAGUUCUGACAGUUUUUCAGCAGGCCCAAGAACACAGUCAAACUCUGGCCAAGGCUCUCUGACUACUACUACCACUACUACCACUACUGUUUCUAUUACUAUUACUACCACCACCCUUGUUACUACUACUACAACUACUACUACCACUACCACAACCACUACUACUACUAUCAUUACAAAUACUACUACUAAAACUACUACCAAUACAACCACUACUACUACUACUACCACUACCACAACCACUACUACUACUAUCAUUACAAAUACUACUACUAAAACUACUACCAAUACAACCACUACUACUACUUCCACCACUACAACCACCACCACAAUUAACAUUACUAUUACUACCACUAGUACUACAAAUACUACAACCGCGGCUAAUACUACUACUUGUACUACUGCUACCACUACUACCUCCACUACAACCACUACCACUAUUACUACUAAUACUAUUAUCACUACAAACUCGGCUAAUACUACUACUAGUACUACUGCUACCACUACUACCUCCACUACAACUACCACUACAACCACUACCACUAUUACUACUAAUACUAUUAUCACUACAAACUCGGCUAAUACUACUACUAGUACUACUGCUACCACUACUACCACCUCUACAACUACCACAACUACUACUACUAACAGUACUACUACUAAUACUAUCACUACCACAACAACAACCACUACUUCUACCACUAUCACUACUACCACGACUACUACCACAACCACAACCACUACNNNNNNNNNNCAUUCUAUUCUUCUUCUUCUUAUAUUAUA
rnacentral:lncRNA from 13 species